GCGGACAUGAUGUAAUUGGUAAACAUGCUAAAUUUAGGUUUUAGUUAAAUUCUGGUGGUUCGAAUCCACCUGCCCGCA
rnacentral:tRNA from 1 species